GUCGGCUCGUCAAUGCCUCACAUCCUCGCUGCUCUGCUUGAGCCGUCUCUGUUGUAAUCCUCACUGCUCGCUGCAAUCAUGUCUCAGUGUUUUCCCUAGCUUGUGGUUAGUACGGGCAACCGCAGAAGCUUUCAAAGUCGCUGAUGCUCCUGCCAAGGUUUUCUUUCUUCUGAUGGAAAACAAUGAGGAGAUUCUUCUAUUUUGCACACAGAUUCUCCAGUUCCAGGCUCAGUGGUAUUAAUUUCUUAAAUUCAAGCUAAGUGAUAUACAUAUAGUGGUCUAAUCUUUUUGGCAAUUAACUUAAUUGAACAUAACUUGCAUAAAAAUGUAUUGCUUUUCUAAUGUAAUAGUAUAGCUUU